rnacentral:tRNA from 1 species
GGCGGGAUAGAGCAGAGGUAGCUUGCCGGACUCAUAAUCCGGAGGUCGUUGGUUCGAAUCCUUCUCCCGCUACAA